AGUUCCAUGGUGUAAUGGUAGCACAACAGUUUUUGGUUCUGUUUGUCUAGGUUCGAAUCCUGGUGGAACUA
rnacentral:tRNA from 1 species